GUAGUUGAAUUUUAGAUCGGGUGACUGCGGAAGGAUCAUUACUACAAUAAGGAAGGUCGGUCCAAUGAUUAAUAAAAUCGCUGCCGACAUGGUCCACAUCCUGAGAUUUAUGUUUACCAUAUUUUGUUUCCUCGGUGGGUUUGUUUACUCACCGUGUGAAAUGACCCCUUCAACCUUUUUGCAAUUUGUAGUCUACCUUCUGGAUUCUAUUAAAAUUAUUUACAACUUUCAACAAUGGAUUCUCUUGGUUCUGGCAUCGAUGAAGAACGCAGCGAAAUGCGAUAAGUAGUGUGAAUUGCAGAAUUCAGUGAAUCAUCGAAUCUUUGAACGCACAUUGCGCCCCUUGGUUAUUCCAUUGGGCAUGCCUGUUCGAGCGUCAUAAGUAAAUUCAAGCCCUGCUUGGUGUUGAGUGCCUGUCCCUGCCUUGUGCGCGGACUCUCUCGAAAACUAUUGGCGGUCCCCACAAGGGUUCUUUGCGCCAGCACAUGUAGCGCUCUAGCCCUGAUGUGGGUGGCAUCCAAGAAAAGCCUACUUCUGUUAGCUUGACCUCGGAUCAGGUAGGGAUACCCCGCUGAACUUAAGCAUAUCAAUAAGCGGAGGAAAAGAAACCAACAGGGAUUGCCCUAGUAACGGCGAGUGAAGCGGCAACAGCUCAAAUUUUGAAAUUCUGGCUCUCUUGUGGGGUCCGAGUUGUAAUUUGUAGAGGGCGCUUUGGCACUGAUGGCCGUCUAAGUUCCUUGGAACAGGACAUCACAGAGGGUGAGAAUCCCGUACGUGGUCGCUAAUCUUUUGCUGUGUAAAGCCCCUUCAACGAGUCGAGUUGUUUGGGAAUGCAGCUCUAAAUGGGAGGUAAAUUUCUUCUAAAGCUAAAUAUUGGCCAGAGACCGAUAGCGCACAAGUAGAGUGAUCGAAAGAUGAAAAGCACUUUGGAAAGAGAGUCAAAAAGCACGUGAAAUUGUUUGAAAGGGAAGCGCUUGGCCGCCAGACUUGCCUGUAGUUGCUCACCUAGGCGUUAACGCUCUGGGGCACUCUUCUGCAGGCAGGCCAGCAUCAGUUUGGGGCAGCCGGAUAAAGGUCUCUGACACGUUCCAUCCUUCGUAGAUGGCCAUAUAGGGGAGACGUCAUGCGGUUAGCCUGGACUGAGUUCCGCGCAUGCUCGAUGCGAAAGCGGAAAGGCUCUAACCGCCCCCUUUAAAAA
rnacentral:rRNA from 1 species